rnacentral:misc_RNA from 1 species
UUUCCGUAGGUGAACCUGCGGAAGGAUCAUUAAUGAGUUGUCAUGGGGUUCGAUGCUGGCAGCCAAUUUUUGGAUGCAUGUGCUUGCCCUAACAAUCAUCCUCCAAACACCUGUGCACAUUUUUGAGGGAGUCUUGAGUUGGUUGCCGCUCUUGGGUGAUUUUCUCACAUUCCCUUAAAUCAUUAUACGCUAUUAACAAUGUUGAACGUGCUCUGUGCCGCAAGGCUAUUAAUAUAAUACAACUUUUAACAACGGAUCUCUUGGCUCUC